UCGAGAAUUUUUCUCAAUGGGGGAAACCCUGAAGGAGCGACGCCGCGUGGAGGAUGAAGGUCUUCGGAUUGUAAACUCCUGUCAUUCGAGAACAAGGUCUGCGGAGUAACUAACGUCAGACUCGAUAGUAUCGAAAGAGGAAGGGACGGCUAACUCUGUGCCAGCAGCCGCGGUAAUACAGAGGUCCCGAGCGUUGUUCGGAUUCAUUGGGCGUAAAGGGUGCGUAGGCCGCAUGGCAAGUCGGGUGUGAAAUCCCGGGGCUCAACCCCGGAACUGCACUCGAUACUGCCGUGCUGGAGUACUGGAGAGGAGACUGGAAUUUACGGUGUAGCAGUGAAAUGCGUAGAUAUCGUAAGGAAGACCGGUGGCGAAAGCUAGUCUCUGGACAGUUACUGACGCUGAGGCACGAAGGCCAGGGGAGCAAACGGGAUUAGAUACCCCCGUAGUCC
rnacentral:rRNA from 1 species